UAUAACAACAAUUCCACUAGAGCAGCGUUUCAUGGAGAAACUGGACCAAAACUGACCACAUUGAUGAAGGCUGAAGGAGGAGCGGGCACUAAGUUCAAACCAUUUUUGGACAAGUUGACUCAGAUGGGAAGCAUUGAUGACCGCCGGGAUACAGUAAUCCGUGCCCUCAUUGUCUAUCUUGGAGAGGAAGAGGAGGAUCUUUUUGAAGAUUGACAGGGCCACCCUGGCAGUGACAUUACUCAACACCUCCUGAAGAUCCUGGUUGAACGUGGUUCUACAGAGAGCGCAUCCAUCCUCCUUGAAGGAAAGGAGUUUCUGCAAGGAAGCGGUAAUGCUCCCAAAGAUUAUUCUUAAUUGAGCAUUCCAUAAAAACACUGCGCUACACAUUCGUGACCUUUCAGAAAAAAAUCUGGACC